rnacentral:rRNA from 1 species
GACGAACGCUGGCGGCGUGCUUAACACAUGCAAGUCGAACGGUGAACCGGGCUUCGGCCCGGGGAUCAGUGGCGAACGGGUGCGUAACACGUGGGCAACCUGCCUCAGACACUGGGAUAACCCCGGGAAACCGGGGCUAAUACCGGAUACUCCGACCGGACUGCAUGAUCCGGCCGGGAAAGCUCCGACGGUCUGAGAUGGGCCCGCGGCCUA